GGGGAUUUAGCUCAGUGGUAGAGCACUUGCCUAGCAAGCAUAAGGCUCUGGGUUCAGUCCCCAGCUCCG
rfam:Rattus norvegicus chromosome 15, whole genome shotgun sequence.